AGAAUUUUCUGCUUCCAUAGCAUUUCUUUGAAGCUCAUUAUAGUCAGCCUAUAAAAAUGAAAAUCAAUAAUAAUAAAAAAAUAUGACUUAAAUAUCUUAAAACGAAGCAUUUCUAACGAAUUUUCUUACAAUGAAGCAUCCUCCCUUUGGAUGGGCCCAGUCGUUUGUCUUAGCCAAACUAUGUGUUUUCUUAUAAACCUCACAGUGACCGACUUCAUAACCAGCUUCUUCAUUCUGAUUGUUAUACUCAAAAAAAUUAGAAUGAUAAAUGUAAAAUAUAUGAAAGAAAUGUUUUUUUACCAUUCUUUCAUGAGUGGCCGCAACAGAACAAGAUCCACCCGUGUAUGGCAUGCAAUCUGGAUUGUUUGUCCUAUUUUCUGAUGCUUUUUCUGAUCUUUUUUUCCAAUCUUCUUUUAACCAAAUUUCAAUCAUUUCACUCCAUACUUCCGCAGAUAGGUAUAUCGGUGGAAAUCUAGCGCAAGAUCUGGUCAGUGUGUCAACUUUUGCCAAUUUCUUUGCCUCUUGUCUCGCUUUAUACAACCAACAUGUAUAAUUUAAUUGUACAUAAUUAUCAAAACAUUCACGAGCCAAUUGAAUGUCCUCAAAUGAGAAAUAGCA
rnacentral:lncRNA from 1 species